GUUAGGUGUGGGUGCUCUGUGGGUAUGUUAGGUGUGGGUGCUGUGUGGGUAUUGGUAUUAGAUGUGGGUAUGUUAGGUGUGGGUAUUGGUAUUAGAUGUGGGUAUGUUAGGUGUGGGUGCUGUGUGGGUAUGUUAGGUGUGGGUAUUGGUGUUAAAUGUGGGUAUGUUAGGUGUGGGUGCUGUGUGGGUAUUGGUGUUAGAUGUGGGUAUGUUAGGUGUGGGUGCUGUGUGGGUAUGUUAGGUGUGGGUGCUGUGUGGGUAUUGGUGUUAGAUGUGGGUUUGUUAGGUGUGGGUGCUGUGUGGGUAUUGGUGUUAAAUGUGGGUAUGUUAGGUGUGGGUGCUGUGUGGGUAUUGGUGUUAAAUGUGGGUAUGUUAGGUGUGGGUGCUGUGUGGGUAUUGGUUUUAAAUGUGGGUAUGUUGGGUGUGGGUGCUGUGUGGGUAUUGGUGUUAGAUGUGGGUAUGUUAGGUGUGGGUGCUGUGUGGGUAAUAGAUGUGAGUUGUGGGUAUGGGCGUUGGGUGUGCGUAUUAGCUGUGGGUAUGGGUAUGGGUAUGGGCAUCAGCUGUGGGUACGACUAAACUUCCUUCACAGUAACUGUGUUAAUUAAACAAUCACUGCCAAAGAUGCCACUUUAGAAAAAAAAAACAAUAAAUCCACAAAUAUCUCAGCGACUGUCACUUGCUUCAAAUUACUCUAACAUAAGUAACCUUCCCUAAGUGCUGAAUUAAGCACUUCCUUCCACUAUUCUAGGGUAUUUUAACGUGUUAGAGGGAGGUGGAGAUGCCACAUCCUCCUACUCUCA